rnacentral:rRNA from 1 species
UACGGAGGGGGCUAGCGUUGUUCGGAAUUACUGGGCGUAAAGCGUACGUAGGCGGCUUUGUAAGUUAGAGGUGAAAGCCCGGGGCUCAACCCCGGAAUUGCCUUUAAGACUGCAUCGCUUGAACGUCGGAGAGGUGAGUGGAAUUCCGAGUGUAGAGGUGAAAUUCGUAGAUAUUCGGAAGAACACCAGUGGCGAAGGCGGCUCACUGGACCGCAUCUGACGCUGAGGCGCGAAAGCUAGGGGAGCAAACGGG